UGGGGAAUAUUGGGCAAUGGGCGCAAGCCUGACCCAGCAACGCCGCGUGAGGGAAGAAUGUCUUCGGAUUGUAAACCUCUGUCCUUGGGGAAGAAAAAAAUGACGGUACCCAAGGAGGAAGCUCCGGCUAACUACGUGCCAGCAGCCGCGGUAAUACGUAGGGAGCAAGCGUUGUCCGGAAUUACUGGGCGUAAAGGGUGCGUAGGCGGCAUUGCAAGUCAGAUGUGAAAUCCCCGGGCUUAACUCGGGGGGUGCAUUUGAAACUGCAGUGCUUGAGUGCAGGAGAGGAAAGCGGAAUUCCUAGUGUAGCGGUGAAAUGCGUAGAUAUUAGGAGGAACACCAGUGGCGAAGGCGGCUUUCUGGACUGUAACUGACGCUGAGGCACGAAAGCGUGGGGAGCAAACA
rnacentral:rRNA from 1 species